rnacentral:lncRNA from 1 species
GACAAGAUAUUAGUAUAAUUUUAUUCUAUACCGAUGACAGUACUUAAAGCCUUCUUCUUCUUCUUCUUCUUUUGUGAAGUUAGUUAAUUAAUUAUCUCAGUAAAAUACAAAAGAUUUGAUAAAAGAAUAUAUUACACGCAAUUAGAAUACCUUUGACGCUAAAAAAUAUAAGAAUUCUAUGGCAUAGUAUAUCAUUCUUGAUACGUUCUCGUAGUAUACUACAGCACUUAAAUUCUUAUUUAUUUUUUUUAUUUUAAAAGAAUAAUAAUAAUGAAACAUAGACUUUUGUUGGUGCAUGAUAUGUGUGAAAGCAUCUUGGUGCAGGCAAGAGUUUGAGUUUCACUUGUAGCUGACUGCCUUCAUCCUCCUUCAUGUGGGUGGGAUGAGGGGGGUUGGAUUUUUCUUCUGCUCUUUUAUAACACCUCUUUUACUUGUUUGUACAUGGAGAUGGUGGUGAGUUGAAUUCUCCUCCUCUCUUAUUAAAGGCUUUCUUGUUCUUCUCUGCUGCUUCUUGUGGGUCUUCUUCUGCUGUUGGUCCUCCUCCUCCUCCUAUUGCUUUUUUUCCUCCUUGGACUCCUCACCUCUUUAUUAUCCUGGUUUGGUUUUUAUAUUCACCAACCAAUUAUUCUUGCUUUUAUUUUUUGUUAAAAGAUAUUUAGAAGGAACAAUCACACUCCUCCCCUUGUUUUUUUUUUUUUAAAAAAAAAAAUCCAUUUGUUUAUUCUC